UACGUAGGCAGCAAGCGUUGUUCGGAAUUACUGGGCGUAAAGCGUGUGUAGGCGGUUGGGUAAGUCUGGUGUGAAAUCUCCUGGCUCAACUGGGAGGGUGCGCCGGAAACUGCCUGGCUAGAGUGCGGAAGAGGAGAGUGGAAUUCCCGGUGUAGCGGUGAAAUGCGUAGAUAUCGGGAAGAACAUCGGUGGCGAAAGCGCUCUACUGGACCGCAACUGACACUCAGGGACGAAAGCUAGGGGAGCGAAUGGG
rnacentral:rRNA from 1 species